UCAAAGGGACUGCACUUGGAGAUAAGGCCUACCCAACAUAAGGGUAGGAGAAAGGGCCCUAAGUGUAUAAGGCUGCUUUCAGUGAGGGCGACCAUUUUGCUGCUGUCUGUCUAAGCAAGAGAGCUGUGUGACCAUGCAAAUACUUGACUUCCCCCAUUAAAAGCUCUGGAAAAGUUGCUGUAAGAUAACUGUGCAUAGGGGAUGGUCCCCAUAAGAUGAAGGCUCAGUACCGUGGGGCGAUGCUCACCCUCAACUCUCAGUGAGUUCAACAGGAGCUGAGAGUACGUGGUGCCUCAUAAGAUGCAACCUUGAGAUCUCAGCCGUCGGUGUUAUCACCGACCGAAAAACUUCAAUGAAUUAGGAAGAGGCCACGUAAAAGCAAAGAAGCCAUGCUGCAUGAAGUCAUGCAGCAGUCUCUUAAUGAGAAUCAAAAAUUGCAGGAGUAGAGGGAGAGUGAAAGGAGGAUCUGCCAGCAGAAUGUGGAGCACCGGCAGAAAAGCGCGGAGCUCUGUCAGCAAAGCAUGGAUUGGCUGAUAAGCAUCAUGGAGCGCCAAGCGGACUCGAUCCAGGCACUCGUAGCCAUGCAGGCAGAGCACUACCGCGCUCACCCCCCCUGCAGCCCUUGUCCCAAAACUCUUUCCCUUGUGCCCCCAUGUCACCUCCAACCCACUAUCCCCAACAUCCGGGUUCUUAUCGCCACCAGCUGCCUCCAACACUUGCAGCUUCACCACCCAGCCCUGAAAACUACGACCCUUACCCACUGCACUCAACCCCCAUCACCAUGCAGUAUAGCCACCCUGAAGUGCAGCACUCAUUGCACAGCACUCCAGACAGGAAGGCUGAGUGCUGAUAACAGGACAUAACAUGAUAACAGGACAUAUGCAAAUCUGUGAUUGUACCGUUCCCGACCCCGCCCUUGCCCUUUCUGUUUCCCAAGCAGUUGUGUUUCUUUUCAAUAAAUGGAUUUUUUGGCUUUGAAAAAUUCUUUAUUAUUCCAUAAAGUAAAAGAUACCUUAGCCCAGGAAAGAAAAAGGCACUGCAAGUCAGCAUAGCAAACACAGAUUCCUACUAACAUUGGAACCAAGGCACUUCACUCCCAUGCAGGGCACCAGACAUUACUGGUGGCUUUCAGCCUCAAAUUGUUCCCUCAAGGCAUCCCUAAUCCUUGCAGCCCCACGCUGGGCCCCUCUAAUAGCCCUGCUCUCUGGCUGUUCAAAUUCAGCCUCCAGGUGUUGAACCUCCAAGUUCCAUGCCUGAGUGAAUCGUUCACCCUUCCCUUCACAAAUGUUAUGGAGGGUUCAGCACGCAGAUAUAACUGCGGGGACGCUGUCAUCAGCCAGGUCCAGCUUCCCAUACAGAGAGUGCCAGCGGCCCUUUAAACAGCCAAAAGCACACUCCACAGUCAUUCUGCACUGGCUCAGCCUGUUGUUGAACUGCUCCUUGCUGCUGUCAAGGCUCCCUGUAUAGGGUUUCAUGAGCCAUGGCAUUAAAGGGUAAGUGGGGUCUCCAAGGAUCACAAUGGACAUUUUGACUUCCCCUACGGUGAUCUUCUGGUCUGAGAAAAAAGUCCCGGCUUGCAGCUUCCUGAACAGGCCAGUGUUCCGAAAGAUGCGUGCGUCAUGCACCUUUCCAGGC